AUUCUUUUGUUCAUGAGAGUAAUGAUUAGGUGUUCGUGGUGUAUGCAUGAAAUGUGCCUCCCUCAAGCCAUUGGCAUGUUACCCAUCUGACA
rnacentral:snoRNA from 1 species